UGCGUAGGCGGAUUAAUAAGUCAGUGGUGAAAUCUUUCGGCUCAACCGAGAAACUGCCAUUGAUACUGUUAAUCUUGAGUUCGGUUGAGGUAGGCGGAAUGUGUAAUGUAGCGGUGAAAUGCUUAGAUAUUACACAGAACACCAAUUGCGUAGGCAGCUUACUAGACCGACACUGACGCUGAGGCACGAAAGCGUGGGGAGCGAACAGGAUUAGAUACCCUGGUGUCC
rnacentral:rRNA from 1 species